rnacentral:snoRNA from 1 species
ACAGUCCCAGCUCCGCAUAGCAAUGUUUGAUGUGUCUGUGCGGCGUUCAUUGACUGUAAUAGAAAUCUCGCACGUAUUAUAUCUUUGUUGCUUAGGCACCCAGAAUGCCUAACUGAUGAAAACGUAUGUGCCACAAU